rnacentral:misc_RNA from 1 species
GAGCCAGUUGUUAAGCAAUGUUCAUGUUUGCCACUCUUAAUAGAAAAAGUAUCAGGGUUUUUCAAACAGAAAGACUCCAAGAAUUGGCGGAAAUUGCUUGAGAAGUUUCAAACAUGGGAUUAUUAUGAUGUUGACGGCAUGGUUGAAGUCCUCAAUAAAUUUAGAUUUUGUUUUGAAGAAUUAGAUCGUGAGGAUAAAAAGCUUUGCUUUCUCUAUUGUGCAUUACACACAGAAGGUUGUGAAAUUUCUACUAAUCAUUUGGUAGAAUGCUGCAAAGCUGAAGAUUUCUUUCCUGAUGUGGGCACAGGGCAUGGUAUGGUGGAUGAUCUAAUCAAUGCAUCUUUGCUCGAGAAAGCUAAAAAGAAGAAAUGUGUAAAGAUGAACAAAGUGCUUCGAAAUAUGGCAUUGAAGAUCUUAUCAGAAUGGGAUGAUUUGAAAUUUUUGGUAAAAGCUGGUGUAUUGGUAGAGCCGCUAAGUGAUAUGGAAUGGGAAGAUGCAAAACGAAUCUCUUUGAUGGAUAACGGUCAUAGAUUGAGAUCUUUACCGGAAGAACCCAAUUGCGCCAAGCUCAGAACAUUGUUUCUCCAAAGAAGUUUUGCUUUAACAGCUAUUCCUGAUGAUUUCUUUCGAUUUAUGCAGGAUCUCCGAGUUUUAGACCUCCAUGGCACUAAAGUCGAAAAAUUACCAUCUCCAUUUCACUUGAAAUGUCUGCAAGUGCUAUACUUAAGUUGUGACCAAUUAAUGGAACUCCCCUCCAGAAUGAAACUUGAGAAUCUUGAGGUUCUUGACAUUCGGGGCACCCGUAUUUAUUGUCUGCCAGUCCAAAUUAGCAAUAUGAAAAAGCUGCGAUGCUUACGCAUCUCAUUUUCAAAUGUUGAUGGAGAAUCAGACAGGGCAGAGGAACAUCUGGGUGUCAUCUCCAAUCUCUCUUUGCUAGAAGAAUUGGUCCUUGAAGUGAAAGCACAGAAUCAGUGGUGGAACCAUGCUAUGAAAAAUAUAACAAGAGAGGUGGCUACAUUGACAAAAUUAACUUCUCUUUUAUUUUGCUUUUAUGAUGAGGAAUCUUUUAAGACAUUUCUUGAUAAUAGCAAGUGGUGGCAAAAUCCCAAUUUCACACUUCAAAUUUGUGUCGGUCAACAUGACUCAAUCAGGCGCUUGAAAUCUGAAAAUGCAGAAUACAAAGAUAACGCAAUAAUAUCAAGCUUGGUGGUUGUAAUUACCAAUGAUACAUAUGAACUCAUUGGCCACAAGGAAGCUUGGAGCAUAUCAAACUUUGGCAUUGAGAAUAUUAAUGAGUUGAAGUGCUGCAUAAUUGAAGGGUGCAAAGAGAUUCGAACAGUUAUCGAUGCUACUGAAACUAUGGAAGGUGUGCUAGAACAAUUGGAGAAGAUUUACAUCAGCAAUGUCCCGAUGUUGGAAAGUAUUUGGGAGGGCAACGUACCAGAUGGAAGCCUGGCACAGCUUACUGUUUUUUGUUUAUAUGACUGCUCAAAUCUCAAGACGGUAUUCUCCUCUGCCAUGAUUAAACAGCUUUCUAAACUUCAACACUUGCAAAUUGAGGAUUGUCCUAAAAUUGAGCAGUUAAUUGUGGAGUCUGAGAAUGAUGGUUUGGAACAAUUAGAGCUUCCUUGUUUGACAACAUUGGUGCUUCGGAACCUGCCAGUAAUAGAAAGCAUUUGGAAGAAUGACUUGAUUUGCCCUCAUUUGGGGCCACCCGUGAAAGAGAAUUGUGAACAGUUGCACGUUGAAUUCUCUGAACAAAUCGACGGAGUCGGUGCAGUUACAACUGUCAUUUCAAACAUUCGCCCAAUAAGCUGAUACGGCAUGCUGAACACUGGUUAGCAAACAGGGCCUAUUUUCUUCCUACGGGAUGCAUAUAUUUGAUAGCUUUGUUGGUUUUUUUCCAGACUAUUUAUUGUGUUUU